rnacentral:lncRNA from 1 species
CCGAAGUGGUAAACGUCUGAGACCUGCAUCACUUCGGGCUUUCUUCCCACAUCAAGCGGACACGCCGUGAUAUAACUGGAAUAAUGUUAAAAGCGGCGUUAAACCCAACUCACUCACUCACCAUGAAUGUUUGAUGUCUAAGACUCUUACACGUCCUUGUAUGGAUGGUCCCAUGCCCUAUACUUCACCCAAGGUAGGAGUCAUCACACAAUCAGGAUAUGUGUACCCAAUCACAUCAUCUUUGGAAAAUAAGUUACACAAUUCAAUUUUUAGCUCACGGGACUGAAAGUCAAGUGAACACAUGUCUUGGUGAAUUGUCCAGUCAUCUGUCGGUCGUGAAGUUUUACAUUUUCGGCAUCUUGUGGGAAACUACAAAAUCUGAUGUGGAGUUGAUACUUGGCAUUCAUGAUCCCAGCCAUCGUGUCGCUUACAUUUGCACACAGAAUUCCAAUCCGACUUAAAACAUGUCCGCCAAUAUUUAUUAAUAUUUAAGGUGAGCUUCCGAGCCUUGUGGCUCUUGUUACCUUUAUCCUAAUCGGCAAUGCUAACUCAAGCCAUAACAAUGACUUCAGGAAGAUUGUUGUGAGUUAGUUGAAAUCCUGGUACAAUUUGUUGAAAGAACUUUUACUAGUCUGAUAUUUUGUUUGUUUGUUUGUUUAGUUAAUGGAACAUGACGGUGCAGGGUAUGUUACCAUGGUGACAUGGGAGAGUGACAACACUUUAGGGCAUCUUUUGUACUACUGUGAAAUCGACAAUUUGUGUUCAGAUACCAUGGGGCAUUAGUUGAUCAAGGUGAAGAUGUUUUUAGGGACCAUUCUGAAAAGUCAAUGUUGGAUGGUUUGUGGCAUGCAGAUUGUGUGAACGGCUUUCCAAUAUGUUGUAAGGAGUUGUGUCCCCUAGGUGUGCCAGGAACCUAUUAUUAAAUGUUCGAAUGCCUGAUUCCCCCUGAUUAUGAUUCUAGGUUUGUCAGUAAGCUACCCAUACUUGUGGGUUUCACAAAAGUGGUAAACAUCUAAGGCCAGUCAUUUCUCCUAAAUGAAAUAAAGUGACACGCCGUUGUAUGACUGAGUGAGUGAGUAUGGUUUUACGCCGCUUUUAGCAAUAUUCCAGCAAUAUCACGGCUGGGGACACUAGACAUGGGCUUCACACAUCGUACCCAUGUCGUGAAUCGAACCCAGGUAUUCGGCUUGACGAGCGACGCUACCUGACCGCCCCUUGUAUGACUGAAAUAGUCCGAUGGAAACACAUAUGCCUGAUUGUCGGUGCGCAUGCACUAGGGCUGGGAUGGGUAGCUCGGGUUAGGUGGGGCCUGAGUAGGACUCGGGUACACAGGACUACCCAGACCUCUGUUUAGUCGGGUUGUAUAUUAUUUGAUAAAAAUAAAAGUCCAUGGUUACACAAGUCACUAAUGUUCAAAUUUCUUUCUGCCUAAUCAGGCAUUCCUUCUGACUUUUAUACAUUUGAGUGAAGAUAAACCUUCAGCCAACUUCAGCAUAGGCAGGAUCAGAUUGUGAUGUACGUGUAUCUAAAUUGCGUGUAUCAAAAUCGAAUGUGUUAUGUGUAUCUAAGUUCUGUGUAUCUUAAUCAGAUUGUUUAAGACGUGUAUCUAAAUUUUUUUGCCAGGGCUCUUGAGACCUACAGCGAGGGGUCAGGUCGGGUUGGGUCAGGUCAUAGGGGGUCGGGUUAGGUCAUAGGGGUCGGGUCUUGUCAGGUCAUAGGGGAUCGGGUCUGGUCUGGUCAGGUCAUAGGGAAUCGGGUCUGGUCUGGUCAGGUCAUAGGGGUCGGGUACGGGGUAGUAAAUUUGGACUCGUCUCAGCCCUAGGAUGCACCAGAGGGGGAAGAUUUACCCUCCCACCUGGACCCUGUGACCUUGUCAUUGCAGCUAUAGCACCACAGCUCAGGCCAACUUUGUUUCCCCUGACCUGCAAUCCUGGUGAUAAUAACUUAAAAUCAACAAAGUCCCAAGUCAGUUGGACGACACUUUGAGACUCCAAAUUCUUAUUUCUUUUGAGGUUCAAUCUUCCCACGAUGCGUAUCACAAUGUUUUCUUAAUGCUUGGUAUAUCAUUGAUUUUUAGCAUGUGUUUAAUGUUAUUCACUUGCCAAUUACCCCCGGAGUGUGCAUCUGGAGUAUAUUUAUGGAAUGAGUAAACAUUAUGUUGUACCAGCAUCUUGUUUUGUUCCAUUUGUGAACUUCAUUUCAUUCACAGGUGUUUCAAAUUGCUUCUGAAUUCCACAUUUCGAAUUAUACCAUAGCUCUCAAUACAGCCUUGUGCAUCGUAAAAUAUUGUGAUACUCUUAAUGCCUCCAAUACCCAUCCCAGUUUUGAGACACAGGUGUGAGUCUUUCACUUUCUACCCAUCCGAGCUAUACUGCUAAGGUCGCAGUAGGAAGAGGGUCACGAAUUUUCAUUGAUUUUGACCGAAUGUCUCCCUGGCAUUAGCCCUUGAACAAAGCACAUGCAAUGCAAAUAUUAUGUAGUUAGUGUGUUAACCUAGCGUAUAGUCAGAUGAUUUAUUUAUGCAGGAUUACACAGAUGUGAGCUGUGUUUGUAUAUAGUUUGUUCAUGGUUAUGAGAUUUUGUAGUCAUGUAUAGCUUCACAGUUGGGUGUUCAAAGGCUGCACGUUUGUGGCAGUCAUUGUGUAGGGUUAUCUCCCUUUGAACUGUUACCUCCCUUUAAUAGCCAUGCAUUUGAAAAAAUGUGAAGACAUCCCAGAGGAUUAUCUCCCCUUGAACCAACAGUUAUCUCCCUUUGGUGGUGUUACUUUUGAAAUUAUUGGAUAUUAGGACAAUGAAUUAAAAACAUUUGCGGUUGGUUUUGUUUGGUUUUCCGCCAACUUUGUUUACAUAAUUGUUUUAUCAUCUUCAUCUUGUGCAGUUGAGAUCAGCUUGAGUGAGUUGGUGUCUGAUGUUGAUGUAACGCAUCCAGCCUAUGCCUGUAUCAGCUGCUUAAAGUGUUUUACAUUGUGCUACUCAGUUUUAAGGAUGAUGAUUGAAAUGACAUCUUAAGGACUCAUGUCAGUUUUCUGCAUACUUCAUUUUGGAAAGUAUUCACAUUUUUGUAUUUUAAAUGCUGCAUUUGUAGAAAUGUUGAUUUAUUUAUAACAGUGAUUAAAAUAUCAUGUCAGAUCCAAAGCAAUCAUUUCAAGCAGUAGAAUGGCUUAUUUUGUUACAUCUUUGAUAUCAGUAUUUAGUUAUUAUUUAGUGCGUCCACACUCCAUUGGAAGGUUUGGUUUGUUGUCAUGUACGUUUGGUUUGAUGGGAAAUGUUUUGAGAGGCAGUGUUGUUAUUGCUGACAAAUCCGACCGGUUGUACCCAGACAUUUGUUGGUUUGGUCAUGAUUAAGCUGUAGAUAUACUUCUCAAAAGACGUUCAAGAACACCUUAUUUUUUAAGACCUUCUUUUGAGUAGUAUACAUUUAUGAAACUCUUCGUGUAAUCAAAUCCAUAAAUUUUUGGAAUUAAUGAGGAUGCCAAGUUGCCAACCCACUUUUCGUAUGCUUGAUGUCAUAAAAUCUGGUACCAAUAUUUGAAUAUUUAAAUUUACUUUUCGUCUUUUUCUUGUUAAUAGUGACAAAUCAGUAUAAUAUUUGGCUCUAAUUUUAUCAUACCAGCUGAAAACAAGCUGUUAUGACCAACGAGUUUCUAGCUUGGAUUCCAAGACAAAGUAAGGCCCAAAUUAAGUGACACGCCAGAUGCCUCGAGAGGGAUCUUUAAUGUACAUCCCAAAACAUAUAUUUUUUAGGAGUUUUCAGGCGAUGCUGGGAAUGAGGAAUGUAUAUAUGUACAGGACUGGUUUGAUACGCCACAGGUAAAGGAAUAGUUUAUUUAUUGUAUUUGUGUCUCGUGGGAGUGGCCGAAUAGAGCAAGUUCAUGUCUUUCAAAAGUAAUCUCUUAAUUUAUGUAAUAAUCCUUUGUGCAGUAUGAGUAAAUUUCUCAUCGAUAUUGUUGUCCAAGAUAAAGAUGAACAUAUCUCUCAAAGGUUAAACUGACAUAUACUGAGGGCAAAAAGUAAGGGAACACGAAG